rnacentral:rRNA from 1 species
GACGAACGCUGGCGGCGUGCCUAACACAUGCAAGUCAACGAGAAAGGGGUAGCAAUAUCCCGAGUAAAGUGGCGCACGGGUGAGUAACACGUAGGUAAUCUGCCAUUAGGACGGGGACAACCACGCGAAAGGACGUGGCUAAUACCCGAUGAAUCGACGAUGCCGGCAUGGCAUUGUUGUUAAAUACCGCAAGGUGCCUGGUGAUGAACCUGC